rnacentral:snoRNA from 1 species
GUCUUCUCUUGAGCUCCUCUCUGUCUAACCAGUGACACUGCAUGGAUUCGCUAGAGAAGUAGAGUCACAGUCACGGGAGAGACAGUCGCUCCUCUGUAGUGGGAGUCACUUUUUUUUUUUCUGUGAGACACCU